AGUAUAGGAGGUCCAGCCUGCCCAGUGACUACGGGUUCAACGGCCGCGGUAUUUUGACCGUGCAAAGGUAGCGCAAUCACUUGUCUCUUAAAUAGAGACCUGUAUGAAUGGCUAGACGAGGGCUUAACUGUCUCCCCCUUCCAGUCAGUGAAAUUGAUCUAUCCGUGCAGAAGCGGGUAUAGUUAUACAAGACGAGAAGACCCUUUGGAGCUUAAGGUACAAAGUUCAACCACGUUAAACGACUCUACAUUAAAGCAGGAACUUAGUGGCGAGUGAACUUUUACCUUCGGUUGGGGCGACCACGGAGGAAAAAGAAGCCUCCGAGUGGACUGGGCUAAUCCCCAAAGCCAAGAGAUACACCUAUAGGCCGCAGAACAUCUGACCAAGAAUGAUCCGACUGAUAAAGCCGAUCAACGAACCAAGUUACCCUAGGGAUAACAGCGCAAUCCUCUCCCAGAGUCCAUAUCGACGAGGGGGUUUACGACCUCGAUGUUGGAUCAGGACAUCCUAAUGGUGCAGCCGCUAUUAAGGGUUCGUUUG
rnacentral:rRNA from 1 species